AUUAGCUUGUUGGUGAGGUAAUGGCUCACCAAGGCGACGAUCCGUAGCUGGUCUGAGAGGAUGAUCAGCCACAUCGGGACUGAGACACGGCCCGAACUCCUACGGGAGGCAGCAGUGGGGAAUAUUGGACAAUGGGCGAAAGCCUGAUCCAGCCAUGCCGCGUGUGUGAAGAAGGCUUUCGGGUUGUAAAGCACUUUCAGUGAGGAAGAAGGCCUUGGGGCUAAUACCCCCGAGGAAGGACAUCACUCACAGAAGAAGCACCGGCUAACUCCGUGCCAGCAGCCGCGGUAAUACGGAGGGUGCGAGCGUUAAUCGGAAUUACUGGGCGUAAAGCGCGCGUAGGCGGCGUGAUAAGCCGGUUGUGAAAGCCCCGGGCUCAACCUGGGAACGGCAUCCGGAACUGUCAGGCUAGAGUGCAGGAGAGGAAGGUAGAAUUCCCGGUGUAGCGGUGAAAUGCGUAGAGAUCGGGAGGAAUACCAGUGGCGAAGGCGGCCUUCUGGACUGACACUGACGCUGAGGUGCGAAAGCGUGGGUAGCAAACAGGAUUAGAUACCCUGGUAGUCCACGCCGUAAACGAUGUCGACUAGCCGUUGGGGUCCUUGAGACCUUUGUGGCGCAGUUAACGCGAUAAGUCGACCGCCUGGGGAGUACGGCCGCAAGGUUAAAACUCAAAUGAAUUGACGGGGGCCCGCACAAGCGGUGGAGCAUGUGGUUUAAUUCGAUGCAACGCGAAGAACCUUACCUACCCUUGACAUCGUGCGAACUUUCCAGAGAUGGAUUGGUGCCUUCGGGAGCGCACAGACAGGUGCUGCAUGGCUGUCGUCAGCUCGUGUUGUGAAAUGUUGGGUUAAGUCCCGUAACGAGCGCAACCCUUGUCCCUAUUUGCCAGCGAUUCGGUCGGGAACUCUAGGGAGACUGCCGGUGACAAACCGGAGGAAGGUGGGGACGACGUCAAGUCAUCAUGGCCCUUACGGGUAGGGCUACACACGUGCUACAAUGGCCGGUACAAAGGGUUGCGAAGCCGCGAGGUGGAGCUAAUCCCGGAAAGCCGGUCUCAGUCCGGAUCGGAGUCUGCAACUCGACUCCGUGAAGUCGGAAUCGCUAGUAAUCGUGAAUCAGAAUGUCACGGUGAAUACGUUCCCGGGCCUUGUACACACCGCCCGU
rnacentral:rRNA from 1 species